rnacentral:ncRNA from 1 species
UUCGACAUAGAUCGCGCCGGUGCCCGGCAACGGGCUUAAUCGGGAAUGCGGUGCGGAGGAUUUGCUCCUCCCAUUCCGCGGCUGUCCCUGCAACUGUGAGCGGAUAGCGCGAUGCACUCGCCUCCUUUGCCGGAGGCAGCCACUGGACCGCGCGACCGCGUGAUCUGGGAAGGCCGUGCAUCAAGCUGUGACCCGCGAGCCAGGAGACCUGCCGGCGCUCCGGUCGCUCU